ensembl:snRNA U1 U1 spliceosomal RNA
AUACUUACCUGGCAGGGGAGAUACCGUGAUCACAAAGGUGGUUUUCCCAGGGCGAGGCUGAUCCAUUGCACUCUGGGUGUGCUGACCCCUGCCAUUACCCCAAAUGUGGGAAACUAGUGGAGGACUGUGUUUGCACUCUCCCCUG